CCGACCUUAGCUCAGUUGGUAGAGCGGGAGACUGUAGUAUUCACGCUGUCAUCUCUAGGUCGCUGGUUCGAAUCCGGCAGGUCGGA
rnacentral:tRNA from 1 species